rnacentral:rRNA from 1 species
UACGGAGGGUGCAAGCGUUGUCCGGAUUUAUUGGGUUUAAAGGGUGCGUAGGCGGCCUUAUAAGUCAGUGGUGAAAUACUUCGGCUCAACCGAAGAGGUGCCAUUGAUACUGUAGGGCUUGAGUACAGACGAGGUAGGCGGAAUUUAUGGUGUAGCGGUGAAAUGCUUAGAUAUCGUCAAGAACACCUAUAGCGAAGGCAGCUUACUAGGCUGUAACUGACGCUGAGGCACGAAAGUGUGGGGAUCAAACAGG